AGAUGACAAAAGCAAGCGAGACCACUGUUAAGGAAAGCAGCCAUUGCUGGAACCAGAUACAAUGCUGAACUUGGUCUUCAAGCUUCCUAUUGCUUUCUAGUAAACGAUUGAGCUAAAGAGGGGAGAAAAGGAUGAAAGUUUGGCAACCUACCCUGGGAGCUGCUGAGAUACCAUACUCACUUGGGAGCCUGCAGAUGGGAUUCUGGAAAACGGGCAGAAGCCCGAGAAGGGACACAAUUGGAAAUAUGGUUGUAUUAUCAAGCUUUUGACUUGAAUGUCAUAUUUGAAAAUGAAAUGCAUGAAGUCGGAUAUGACCAGAUGGCUUUAAGGAACUAAAGACCCUUGGAAACAACUGACCUGGUACCUUGCUUACAGGGUUCCAGACAGCCUUACUAGGAAGCCACCCUUUCUAGAUGGGAGGCAGUGCUUUCACCUGGGCCUUCAGUACCAAACCACCAAGUCCCCCUGUUUCUGUGAGGUGAGAAAACAGAUGCCCAGAGUGUGGCGAGGUGACUUGCUGAUACCCUGCUAAUUUCUAGAUUCCAGUCCAGCUUUGCUGAGUCAUCACCCAGCCCCAGGCCUCCCAUAACACCCCACUGUGGCCAGCCAGGUGACAACUCACCCCCG